rnacentral:rRNA from 1 species
GCAUAUCAAUAAGCGGAGGAAAAGAAACCAACAGGGAUUGCCUCAGUAACGGCGAGUGAAGCGGCAACAGCUCAAAUUUGAAAUCUGGCUCUUUCAGGGUCCGAGUUGUAAUUUGUAGAAGAUGCUUCGGGUGUGGCUCCGGUCUAAGUUCCUUGGAACAGGACGUCAUAGAGGGUGAGAAUCCCGUAUGUGACUGGUUGCCUUCGCCCAUGUGAAGCUCUUUCGACGAGUCGAGUUGUUUGGGAAUGCAGCUCAAAAUGGGUGGUAAAUUUCAUCUAAAGCUAAAUAUUGGCCAGAGACCGAUAGCGCACAAGUAGAGUGAUCGAAAGAUGAAAAGCACUUUGGAAAGAGAGUUAAACAGUACGUGAAAUUGUUGAAAGGGAAGCGCUUGCAACCAGACUUGCGCGUGGUUGAUCAUCCGGGGUUCUCCCCGGUGCACUCGAUCACGCUCAGGCCAGCAUCGGUUUGGGUGGUUGGAUAAAGGCCUUGGGAAUGUGGCUUCCUUCGGGGAGUGUUAUAGCCCUCGGUGCAAUGCAGCCUACCCGGACCGAGGACCGCGCUUCGGCUAGGAUGCUGGCGUAAUGGUUGUAAGCGACCCGUCUUGAAACACGGACCAAGGAGUCUAACAUUUAUGCGAGUGUUUGGGUGUUAAACCCAUACGCGUAAUGAAAGUGAACGGAGGUGAGAACCCUUAAGGGUGCAUCAUCGACCGAUCCUGAUGUCUUCGGAUGGAUUUGAGUAAGAGCAUAACUGUUGGGACCCGAAAGAUGGUGAACUAUGCCUGAAUAGGGUGAAGCCAGAGGAAACUCUGGUGGAGGCUCGCAGCGGUUCUGACGUGCAAAUCGAUCGUCAAAUUUGGGUAUAGGGGGCGAAAGACUAAUUCGAACCCAUCUAGUAGCUGGGUUCCUGCCGAAG